rnacentral:rRNA from 1 species
UACGGGGGGGGCAAGCGUUGUUCGGAAUUACUGGGCGUAAAGGGCUCGUAGGCGGCCAACUAAGUCAGACGUGAAAUCCCUCGGCUUAACCGGGGAACUGCAUCUGAUACUGGAUGGCUUGAGAUUGGGAGAGGGAUGCGGAAUUCCAGGUGUAGCGGUGAAAUGCGUAGAUAUCUGGAGGAACACCGGUGGCGAAGGCGGCAUCCUGGACCAACACUGACGCUGAGGAGCGAAGGCCAGGGGAGCAAACGGG